ACAAGAAAUACAUAUAAAAUCUCAUUAAUGAUGUGCACGAAUGACUCUACCUUAUCGACCUUGAUCAAAUUUCAAAGGCACUCCUGGAUCCCCUUAAUGCUUAUUCAAACUAUGCAAAAAAUUGACAUAUUAAAGAGAGUAAUAAAGAGGGUGAAAGGACCUCACUACGCGUGAAAAAUCGCGAACCUAUGUGAUACAGUACAAGCGCGGACGUAGUUUCGCUCUGUAAGCGCGCAGGGGAGGGAGCGUUUGAGUGGACCUUGCUACGCGUGGAAAGUAGCUGUAUAGAGCUGGUUAAUCAUAACCAUUCCAUUUUUCUGCCCAGUUAACCAUUUGCUGCCAAAUUACUAACAAUAGGAAAAAAUUUUUCUGCGGAGUAAGGUGGUCAAAUUCAGGAACUACCGUGUCCUCGAGUGCGCUCCAAUUGUAAUCAAAACUUGAUGUUAUAUUCUAACACAAAAUUGAUUGCAAUACUACAAUAGAUUUGCCAUUAACAGUGAGACAUCAGAUUGAAGCAACAAAUUGACAGCAUAUUUAUCAAUUGCAGACCAACAGAUUUGCAUCAAAUAUUCAGCAAAUCUAUGUGCAGAAUUUACAACAAAUGGACGACAAACUCAAAACAGAUUUGUUUGCAGAAAUAAUGGCAAAUUGACAACAAACAUGAGAUUGACAUAUUUUAGUAUUAUAUGUCGAAAUCUUACUUCCUACCGCGCUCUAUUGGCAAGCCUCUUUUAUUCAUAAGAAGGUGCAUUUUAUCUACGAAAAAAUAGCGCCACAUAGCGAUAGGUAGUGAAAAGAUAUUAUCUUAAGAAUUAAUAUACUUAAGAAUUAAUAUACAAUCUAUUUAUUAUUAAUGUAAGUAAACAUUUCUAGUUGAUGACAGCAUAUCAAAGCAUGUAGCUUUCGAGAAUAAAAAUUUACUUGCAGUAA